GAUUGUUUGGCCGAGUGGUCUAAGGUGCCAGAUUUUGGCUCUAGUUCGAAAGGGCGUGGGUUCAAAUCUCACAGCCGUCA
rfam:Ipomoea nil DNA, scaffold: scaffold2791, cultivar: Tokyo-kokei standard.